AUAUCCCGAAAAGAAAAAAAAUGCCACGCCUUGUGAACCCUAAUGGAGGAGACGACAGACGAGGAUGGCUGAUGGCGCGGCGGCGGCGCCUUCCCCGACGACAACGGCGAGCCACCAUGUUCCCGGCGAUCUGGAUAAGAGAUGGCGAACCACCACGUUCCCGGCGAUCUGGAUGAGCACCAUGGUAUCGUUCGAUUUCGUCGCCAUCCGUCACACACCCAGAUGCUCUCAGAUCCGUUAAUCUCUUCUGGGGAAAAGAGAAGAAAGCGUGAAGGUUGACCUCUAAUAUUUGAACAUAUGGCUUUUGGUCAAAUGAUCUUCUGUAUGUCUUUCACGUACGCAGGACAAGCUUAGGCCGACCACUCUUCACUUCAACUGCAGCAUCCAUGGAUCCUGGAUAGAUUAGCAUGUUUCCUGUCCAUUUACUUCUAAACAUGGGAAUCUCAAGACGGAACGAAUGCGAGUAUGGCAGGUUGCGUCUGAACUUUGUAUGAUAGAGGAUUGAAUGGUAUUGUCCAGUUCUGCUCUACGCACGGACGGCUUAAUGUGAUGUGCUGUGCUAAAGAAUUUGUCAUGUGUAUAACAUUAUUCCUCUCAAAAUUCACGUCUUUGGUUUAUACCGUAAUAUGACAGCUGCCUCAAACAAACCAUGCAAGAAUUUGUGAGUUUAUGCUAUUUGACUACAAAUCUUACAUGAAUGCCAGCUAUUUCAACAUCAA